GGAUAUGAGGGCAAUCUGGCUGCAACAUCUGUCACCCUAUUGGUCUCCAUAGUUGAUUUGGCUGAUCUAGCUGGCUAAGCGGGCCCUUCUUCCUUCACCUCUAAUAGAGGAGGAGCAGUUUUUAGUCAGUGGUGUACAACUAGCUGUGUUCCUCUACUAGAACCUCCAAACAUGCUCCCAAGAGUAUCACCUAAUAAAUUAUUUUUGGAAAAAAUAAUUGAGUUUGCUACUCCUUCCUACCCUAAAUUCACCUCUGUUU
rnacentral:snRNA from 1 species